UUCCUCCUCCCUCUCCUCCGUCUCCUCCUCUCCCUCUCCUCCCUCUCCUCCCUCUUCUUCCUUUGUUCUUGCCUCCCGAGUGACCGGCGUCCUCUUCCCGACCGAGCGCCGUUCGGAUCCCCAUCGCGGCCAUCCCCUGUUCCGAGAUCCAUUAUCUCGGUUUCGAACGCCACCGUCGCCGCUGCUAGCCGCCGGAUCGAGCCACCUGCGGCCGGGAUCUGCCGCCUCCGUCGACCGCAGGUAAGCCCCUUCUUUUUCUCUUUAUUCCGUUGCUAAACAUCCUUGUGUUCUCCCUUUGUUUUGGCCCCAAACCGAGAUCACUCGGUUUUCCCUCGAUGCCCGUUGUCGCAGAAGCUGCCGGCCGCCACUGCAGUCGGCCGGCCGUCGGCCGGGCAACAGCCCCCGGGCCGCCUUGGCUGACCCCCCCCCCCAGCCGGCCCCUUCUUCUUCCUCUCCCGUUCUCCCAUCUCCCCUGUUCAUGGGGAGCUCGGUGAAGAAGAAGGCCCACUGCAUGUGGGCCGUGAGCAGUAUGAUGGGCCGUUGGGCCCUGUUCACCGUGGGCCCAACUUGGACCCGGUUCAAACUUGAAACCCGAAACAAAAAAAAAAAAGAAAACCCGAAACCCAGUUCAUAUCCGAAACCCGAACCCGAAACCCAGUUCAGACCCGAAAUCCGAACCCGAAACCCAGUUCAACUCUAAACCCGAACCCGGAAUCCGAACCCGAACCCGGAACCCGAACCCGAAUCCAAAAUCCGAAACCCAAAACCCGAAACCCAGUUCAGACCCGAAAUCCGAAAUCCAGUUCAGACCCAAAAUCCGAAACCCGAAACCCGAAACUUGAAACCCAGAACCCGAAAUCCGAAUCCAUUUGGCCGAUAAAUGGAAUUUUACAGAUAAGCCCUUGACAGUAUAUUAUUUCACAAAAGGGUAUUCUAUAAUUUAUGUUUGGUCCCUAUAAGAAAGAUUAUUACAUAAAUAAUCCAUUAGAGACCAACUUUGGGGGCCCUAUUUGGUCGGGUCUAUGCGGGCCCAUUGGGCCGUGUCCGAUAUGGGCCCUAUCGGGCCAUGCCCAUUAUGGGCCAACUCUGGGCCCUGUUGGGCCAUGUACAAUAG
rnacentral:lncRNA from 1 species